UCUGUGAUGGUUACCUGAAGAGGCACGACAGAACAGUGAUAGCACUAUGCAUUUACUGCAAACACUGGAAGCCAUUGGGAAAAGAAGAGAACGACCAACACUCUUUCUUUUGUAGAAUAUUCUGCAUGGAAUCUGCAAAGUUUCCUAAUGAAUGACUGGUGGACAGGAUGUUCUUACAACGUGAAGAAUUAUGGUAAACUUGACAUUCCUGUUGGAGGUGUAGAAAGUAACUCUGUGGAUGUGCCAUUUUGACUUUAGAAGGUUUGAAGUUGUAUUGACCUGAAUUCAGAAUACACAUACUGCUUGAUAUGUAAAAAGAAUAGGGAGAUGGUUGAAGACGCAGAAGCCAGGAGAGAAACACAACCUGAAAAAAUUCUGUCCUGCAAGUGGUGAGCCACUAAAUUUACAAAAUACAGGAAGAAGCGAUGUCAAAACCAAAUUACUGUCUGAAUAUUUCACAGAAAUCCCUGUCUAUUGCUAUAAUCAUCAGGAUCAUUAUCUAUUGGGAAAUCCAUAGAUAUUGUUCCUGGUACUCUUUCCCUUCCAUGUCAGGGUUGGUUACAUGACUGGCUCUGGUCACUGUGCAUCUUGCCUGUGGCUGUGAAGAUGCUAUCUGAUGACAGCUGAGUUCAACUCCAGGAUCCAGGGCAAGUUCGAGGACCAUCUCAAGGGCAGGGAACAAGUCCUCAGGCCAUAGGACAGAUGCUCCAGUAGACAUAGGAGUGUGCUGAUCUUUAACGCCUGUGUUUGAAGGCUAUGAUCUAUCAUUUUCGUCAGCUAAGGUGAUUCACAUGCAUUGUUUAAGGUUCCUUAGAUCGGAAAGGCCUGGCAAACAUGAGAA